CAACGCCUCGUGAAUCAUUGGUUACUCUCUCGUAAUGUUGUGUCAGCUUUACGUGGAUGCAAGCUUUACCAUAUUUUAACCGGCGUUUGGAAAGAAAUUCGUGAUGACACAUCAUUUAGAAGAAUUGGUAAUAAUCAAGAGCAAAUAGGAAUCAAAGAUUCUGGCGUCCUGUUGACUUUGUUGCUGAUAUCCACGGAGUAAUCG